GGAGGAUAUGUGACUGAAGCGGCACAAGAAAACCUGUUUCGACGCUAUGGAUGAAGAAUUUCAAGCCAGGUUCCUAACGACUGGGCGAGGUUGUCGCAGUUGGUACUGAGGUUCAGUCGCAGAAACAGUGACACUUACCUCCUUCCAUCUUGUUGCAGGUGGAAUGUAGAUUGUACAAACUCCCAGAUGUAGCUGAUAUUAGACCGGAGAGCGGAGCAGAGAUAUUGAAUGGUAGUGGUGCAGCCAGUUCCAUUAGCAUUAAGUUUGUUACAGAAUACUGUUGCUACCACAGAAAGUAAUAAGUACGACUGUUGUUUUUGUAAAAAGUUGUUUACAAAUGCAUUAUUAGUAUUGAUUAAAUAAGGAGAAGUACAUGUACAGUGUGUACCUGCACUACGGUACAUCAAAGAAAUCUAUGUCGAUUGUAUGUAUCCUGAAGAUAGCCUUUGACCUUGGAAAAUG